rnacentral:SRP_RNA from 1 species
GUACCGGCCGGGGAGGUAGCGGUGCCCUGUAUCCGCAAUCCGCUAUAGCGGAGGUUAUGUCCCCGAUUGAGGCGUUUUUUCAGUACGGCUGGAGCAUUUAAGUGGUGUUGACGGUUGGGUCUUGCGCAAUAUCGGCCCGUGAACCUUGUCAGGCGGGGAACCGAGCAGCAAUAAGCGGUCUCCGGUAUGUGCCGCGAGGGUGCCUGACCCGAGCUAACUGAAUGAUUUCCGCGUAAUGGAUAACGUCG